rnacentral:rRNA from 1 species
CCCAGGUUGGACAUGCACGUAGUAGAAAGGUGAAAGCCUGACGAGGUAGCAAUACCAGCGUGCUCAGGUGCUGCAUGGCUGUCGUCAGCUCGUGCCGUGAGGUGUUGGGGUUAAGUCCCGCAACGAGCGCAACCCCUGCUUUCAGUUGCUACCGGGUCAUGCCGAGCACUCUGAAAGGACUGCCCAGGAUAACGGGGAGGAAGGUGGGGAUGACGUCAAGUCAGCAUGGCCUUUAUGCCUGGGGCCACACACGUGCUACAAUGGCCGGUACAAAGCGCUGCAAACCUGCGAGGGGGAGCCAAUCGCAAAAAACCGGCCUCAGUUCAGAUUGAGGUCUGCAACUCGACCUCAUGAAGGCGGAAUCGCUAGUAAUCGCGGAUCAGCACGCCGCGGUGAAUACGUUCCCGGGGCCUUGUACACACCGCCCGUCACACCACGAAAAGCCUGUUGUACCUGAAGUCGCCCAAGCC